rnacentral:rRNA from 1 species
GGUUAAGCGACUAAGCGUACACGGUGGAUGCCCUGGCAGUCAGAGGCGAUGAAGGACGUGCUAAUCUGCGAAAAGCGUCGGUAAGGUGAUAUGAACCGUUACAGCCGGCGAUGUCCGAAUGGGGAAACCCAGUGCAAUUCGUUGCACUAUCGUUUGAUGAAUACAUAGUCAAACGAGGCGAACCGGGGGAACUGAAACAUCUAAGUACCCCGAGGAAAAGAAAUCAACCGAGAUUCCCCCAGUAGCGGCGAGCGAACGGGGAGCAGCCCGGAGUCUGAAUCAGCUUGUGUGUUAGUGGAAGCGUCUGGAAAGUCGCAGGGUACAGGGUGAUACUCCCGUACACUAAAACACACAGGUUGUGAACUCGAAGAGUAGGGCGGGACACGUGGUAUCCUGUCUGAAUAUGGGGGGACCAUCCUCCAAGGCUAAAUACUCCUGACUGACCGAUAGUGAACCAGUACCGUGAGGGAAAGGCGAAAAGAACCCCGGCGAGGGGAGUGAAAAAGAACCUGAAACCGUGUACGUACAAGCAGUAGGAGCCCACUAGUUGGGUGACUGCGUACCUUUUGUAUAAUGGGUCAGCGACUUAUAUUCUGUAGCAAGGUUAACCGUAUAGGGGAGCCGCAGGGAAACCGAGUCUUAACUGGGCGUUAAGUUGCAGGGUAUAGACCCGAAACCCGGUGAUCUAGCCAUGGGCAGGUUGAAGGUUGGGUAACACUAACUGGAGGACCGAACCGACUAAUGUUGAAAAAUUAGCGGAUGACUUGUGGCUGGGGGUGAAAGGCCAAUCAAACCGGGAGAUAGCUGGUUCUCCCCGAAAGCUAUUUAGGUAGCGCCUCGUGAAUUCAUCUUCGGGGGUAGAGCACUGUUUCGGCUAGGGGGUCAUCCCGACUUACCAACCCGAUGCAAACUACGAAUACCGAAGAAUGUUAUCACGGGAGACACACGGCGGGUGCUAACGUCCGUCGUGAAGAGGGAAACAACCCAGACCGCCAGCUAAGGUCCCAAAGUCAUGGUUAAGUGGGAAACGAUGUGGGAAGGCCCAGACAGCCAGGAUGUUGGCUUAGAAGCAGCCAUCAUUUAAAGAAAGCGUAAUAGCUCACUGGUCGAGUCGGCCUGCGCGGAAGAUGUAACGGGGCUAAACCAUGCACCGAAGCUGCGGCAGCGACACUAUGUGUUGUUGGGUAGGGGAGCGUUCUGUAAGCCGUUGAAGGUGGCCUGUGAGGGUUGCUGGAGGUAUCAGAAGUGCGAAUGCUGACAUAAGUAACGAUAAUGCGGGUGAAAAACCCGCACGCCGGAAGACCAAGGGUUCCUGUCCAACGUUAAUCGGGGCAGGGUGAGUCGACCCCUAAGGCGAGGCCGAAAGGCGUAGUCGAUGGGAAACAGGUUAAUAUUCCUGUACUCGGUGUUACUGCGAAGGGGGGACGGAGAAGGCUAUGUUGGCCGGGCGACGGUUGUCCCGGUUUAAGCAUGUAGGCGGAUGUUCCAGGUAAAUCCGGAACGUCACUAACGCUGAGGUGUGAUGACGAGGCACUACGGUGCUGAAGUGACAAAUGCCCUGCUUCCAGGAAAAGCCUCUAAGCAUCAGGUAACAUCAAAUCGUACCCCAAACCGACACAGGUGGUCAGGUAGAGAAUACCAAGGCGCUUGAGAGAACUCGGGUGAAGGAACUAGGCAAAAUGGUGCCGUAACUUCGGGAGAAGGCACGCUGAUGGUAAGUGAAGCGACUUGCUCGUGGAGCUGAAAUCAGUCGAAGAUACCAGCUGGCUGCAACUGUUUAUUAAAAACACAGCACUGUGCAAACACGAAAGUGGACGUAUACGGUGUGACGCCUGCCCGGUGCCGGAAGGUUAAUUGAUGGGGUUAUCCUCGCGGAGAAGCUCUUGAUCGAAGCCCCGGUAAACGGCGGCCGUAACUAUAACGGUCCUAAGGUAGCGAAAUUCCUUGUCGGGUAAGUUCCGACCUGCACGAAUGGCGUAAUGAUGGCCAGGCUGUCUCCACCCGAGACUCAGUGAAAUUGAACUCGCUGUGAAGAUGCAGUGUACCCGCGGCAAGACGGAAAGACCCCGUGAACCUUUACUAUAGCUUGACACUGAACACUGGUCCUUGAUGUGUAGGAUAGGUGGGAGGCUUUGAAGUGUGGACGCCAGUCUGCAUGGAGCCAUCCUUGAAAUACCACCCUUUAAUGGCUGGUGUUCUAACGUGGGCCCGUAAUCCGGGUUGCGGACAGUGUCUGGUGGGUAGUUUGACUGGGGCGGUCUCCUCCUAAAGAGUAACGGAGGAGCACGAAGGUCAGCUAAUCCUGGUCGGACAUCAGGAGGUUAGUGCAAUGGCAUAAGCUGGCUUGACUGCGAGCGUGACGGCGCGAGCAGGUGCGAAAGCAGGUCAUAGUGAUCCGGUGGUUCUGAAUGGAAGGGCCAUCGCUCAACGGAUAAAAGGUACUCCGGGGAUAACAGGCUGAUACCGCCCAAGAGUUCAUAUCGACGGCGGUGUUUGGCACCUCGAUGUCGGCUCAUCACAUCCUGGGGCUGAAGUAGGUCCCAAGGGUAUGGCUGUUCGCCAUUUAAAGUGGUACGCGAGCUGGGUUUAGAACGUCGUGAGACAGUUCGGUCCCUAUCUGCCGUGGGCGCUGGAGAAUUGAGGGGGGCUGCUCCUAGUACGAGAGGACCGGAGUGGACGCAUCACUGGUGUUCGGGUUGUCAUGCCAAUGGCAUUGCCCGGUAGCUAAAUGCGGAAGAGAUAAGUGCUGAAAGCAUCUAAGUACGAAACUUGCCCCGAGAUGAGUUCUCCCUGACCCUUUAAGGGUCCUGAAGGAACGUUGAAGACGACGACGUUGAUAGGCCGGGUGUGUAAGCGCAGCGAUGCGUUGAGCUAACCGGUACUAAUGAACCGUGAGGCUUAACCUUAC